rnacentral:lncRNA from 1 species
CAGACACAGGGACUUUUCUCCCUAAACAAAAGUAAACUUGGGAAAAAAAAAAAUCGGGUGGGGGUGAAGUGGUGGGCCUGGGUGGAGGAAAUAGAAGACAGCAAAAAAUAGAAGCUAAAAAUAGAAACUUGUCUUUUUUGAUGACUCCUGGGUCUUGGAGAAGAUGUGUCCCGCACCAUCACUCCCUGUACCUGAUGGAGACUGUGCUAGGCGGCGGCAGCAGCCUGCAACUACCCCUAAUGACUUCACUGGGUGCAGAUGAUCUCACAGGGACCAAAAGUUGGAACAGGGAAGAAAAAGUGUGUGAAAAGUGAACAACGCUUCCCAAGGCCAGGUGAGGGCCUUCCCUUCUGGGCUGGGCAGUCAUGAGGUCCUGG